rnacentral:rRNA from 1 species
AUUGAACGCUGGCGGCAGGCCUAACACAUGCAAGUCGAGCGAGCGGCGGACGGGUGAGUAAUGUAUGGGGACUGCCCGAUAGAGGGGGAUAACUACUGGAAACGGUGGCUAAUACCGCAUACUAUCGGAUAACCCAUAUUGGAUUAGCUAGUAUGUGGGGUAAAGGCUCACCUAGGCGACGAUCUCUCGCUGGUCUGAGAGGAUGAUCAGCCACACUUGGACUGAGACACGGCCCCGACUCCUCCGGAGGAAGCAGUGGGGAAUAUUUAACAAUGAGCGCAAGCCUGAUGCAGCCAUGCCGCGUGUAUGAAGAAGGCCUUAGGGUUGUAAAGUACUUUCAGCGGGGAGGCGGUAAACGAAGAAGAAGCACCGGCUAACUCCGUGCCAGCAGCCGCGGUAAUUG